rnacentral:rRNA from 1 species
AGAACGAACGCUGGCGGCAGGCUUAACACAUGCAAGUCGAACGCACCGCAAGGUGAGUGGCAGACGGGUGAGUAACACGUGGGAACAUACCCUUCGGUUCGGAAUAACUUGGGGAAACUUAAGCUAAUACCGAAUACGGCCUAAGGGCGAAUGAUUUAUCGCCGAAGGAAUGGCCCGCGUCCGAUUAGCUAGUUGGUGUUGGUAACGGCUCACCAAGGCGACGAUCGGUAGCUGGUCUGAGAGGAUGACCAGCCACAUUGGGACUGAGACACGGCCCAAACUCCUACGGGAGGCAGCAGUGGGGAAUAUUGGACAAUGGGCGCAAGCCUGAUUCAGCCAUGCCGCGUGAGUGAUGAAGGCCUUAGGGUUGUAAAGCUCUUUCGCACGCGACGAUAAUGACGGUAGCGUGAGAAGAAGCCCCGGCUAACUUCGCGCCAGCAGCCGC